UAAUACGGAGGGUGCAAGCGUUGUCCGGACUUAUUGGGUGUAAAGGGUGCGCAGGCGGGUUUGUAAGUCUGGGGUGAAAGGCAGCCGCUCAACGGUUGGACUGCCCUGGAUACUGCAGAUCUUGAGUGCAGAAGAGGUCGACGGAAUUGGCGGUGUAGCGGUGAAAUGCAUAGAUAUCGCCAAGAACACCGGUGGUGAAGACGGUCGGCUGGACUGUUACUGACGCUCAGGCACGAAAGUGUGGGGAUCAAACAGG
rnacentral:rRNA from 1 species